UACCGUUCGACUUGGGCUGCCUGACACACUAGCAGUAUAGGGGUGCACUGCUGAAAGUUGAGCCACCAGUGUACCGUCAUAGGGCAUUUUAGGUAUAGAUCAAAACUUGUAGACAGCCCAGGUUCGACCUACCAGAUCGUUCACCUAGUUUCACCAGCCAAAAAGAAAAAUCCCCUCCCAGCAAGGGUUCCGGUCGCCGCCGCGCGCUCGCGUAGGCCUUCCUCUUCGUCCGGCUUCAGCAGCGACACCGGCGAUUGGAAGCACGCCUCCACAGAGUCUCUCGUAAUUGAAGGGGCCGAGGCAUAGGCGGUGGAGCCGGUGGUAGCUGCCAUGCGCGGCGAUGAAGGUGCGGGUGGCCGCGCGGCCCAGCUGGUUGAGCACCGGGCCAAGGCAGAGGCGGCGGAGCCGGCGGUAGACGGCGAGCACAUUUAUGAAGAUGCGGGUGGUCAGGCAUAUGACUAAGGUCUGUGGGAUGCAGUAACCAGAAGCAAUGUGGUUGAUGGAGCUGACAGAGUACAACAAGCUGCUGUCAAGAUGCACGAGAUGGCGAGAGGGGCGGACACUCUGAGUUUCAGAGGAGUUGAGACUGAUGAAGAUGUUGAUGUGGACUGAAUGAUGAAAAAGAUGAAUAGUGGUUUCCUGAAGCUGUGAACAUCUGUUGUUGGCCUUCCUUCCCCAACCAGAGAGAUUGCUGCUCAGUCAUUGCUCUUUAUGGUCUGUAGGAGAUGUCUAUCUCUAGUCAUCUGUUACCAGGUUGUCUUCAGAUCCUAGUCUGGUCUCGUGAUGUUGUGUUGCAGUACUUGUUGCAACAUAGAAAAACCUUUUAUGUUUUUGCCUUCUUCUUUCUGGUUGUAAGACUAUUUGUUAUGUUAUUCUCUGGUAAUGGAACCCGGCUCUCUGUUGAGGGGUGUUGAGAGCUGUA